CCAGACUCCUACGGGAGGCAGCAGUGGGGAAUAUUGCACAAUGGGGGAAACCCUGAUGCAGCAACGCCGCGUGAGUGAAGAAGUAUUUCGAUAUGUAAAGCUCUAUCAGCAGGGAAGAAGAUGACGGUACCUGAGUAAGAAGCCCCGGCUAACUACGUGCCAGCAGCCGCGGUAAUACGUAGGGGGCAAGCGUUAUCCGGAUUUACUGGGUGUAAAGGGAGCGUAGACGGCAGCACAAGUCUGGAGUGAAAUCCCGGGGCUUAACCCCGGAACUGCUUUGGAAACUGUGCGGCUGGAGUGCAGGAGGGGUAAGCGGAAUUCCUAGUGUAGCGGUGAAAUGCGUAGAUAUUAGGAGGAACACCGGUGGCGAAGGCGGCUUACUGGACUGUAACUGACGUUGAGGCUCGAAAGCGUGGGGAGCAAACAGGAUUAGAUACCCCCGUAUGG
rnacentral:rRNA from 1 species